AUUCGUGAGAUACCGUCAUUACGAUGAAGCUUCUAGCUUGCUAGGUGGAUUAGUGGCGCACGGGUGAGUAACGCAUAGAUAACAUGCCCUUUAGUUUGGGAUAGCCACUAGAAAUGGUGAUUAAUACCAAAUAUUACCCUACGGGGGAAAGAUUUAUCGCUAAAGGAUUGGUCUAUGUCCUAUCAGCUUGUUGGUGAGGUAAAGGCUCACCAAGGCAAUGACGGGUAUCCGGCCUGAGAGGGUGAACGGACACACUGGAACUGAGACACGGUCCAGACUCCUACGGGAGGCAGCAGUAGGGAAUAUUGCUCAAUGGGCGCAAGCCUGAAGCAGCAACGCCGCGUGGAGGAUGAAGGUUUUAGGAUUGUAAACUCCUUUUGUGAGAGAAGAUAAUGACGGUAUCUCACG
rnacentral:rRNA from 1 species